rnacentral:rRNA from 1 species
CGCGUAGGUGGUUGCGUAAGUCAGAUGUGAAAUCCUCAGGCUUAACCUGAGAACCGCAUCUGAUACUGCGUGACUCGAGUGCAGCAGAGGGAAACGGAAUUCUUGGUGUAGAGGUGAAAUUCGUAGAUAUCAGGAGGAACACCGGUGGCGAAGGCGGUUUCCUGGGCUGACACUGACACUGAGGCGCGAAAGCGUGGGUAGCAAACAGGAUUAGAUACCCUGGUAGUCCACGCUGUAAACGGUGAAUACUGGGUGUGGGAGGUGUAAUGCCUUCUGUGCCGAAGCUAACGCGUUAAGUAUUCCGCCUGGGGAGUACGGCCGCAAGGUUGAA